UACGUAGGGGGCAAGCGUUGUCCGGAAUCAUUGGGCGUAAAGCGCGUGUAGGCGGCCCGGUAAGUCCGCUGUGAAAGUCGGGGGCUCAACCCUCGAAUGCCGGUGGAUACUGUCGGGCUAGAGUGCGGAAGAGGCGAGUGGAAUUCCUGGUGUAGCGGUGAAAUGCGCAGAUAUCAGGAGGAACACCAAUUGCGAAGGCAGCUCGCUGGGACGUUACUGACGCUGAGACGCGGAAGCGUGGGGAGCAAACAGG
rnacentral:rRNA from 1 species